ACAGCAUCUUAACAGGUCGUGGUCUCUGGGCAGUAGACCAGGAUUUGGUAGCUGGUGCUAAAAUCAAUUCUCUCCUGCAACACUCCCAUUAGCAGCUCCUGUGUUUCUUGGGACAAAAACCAGAGAGAUACAAAC
ensembl:snoRNA